rnacentral:rRNA from 1 species
GGGUGCGAUCAUACCAGCGUUAAUGCACCGGAUCCCAUCAGAACUCCGCAGUUAAGCGCGCUUGGGCUAGAGUAGUACUGGGAUGGGUGACC